rnacentral:rRNA from 1 species
AGAGUUUGAUCAUGGCUCAGAUUGUACGCUGGCGGCAGGCUUCACACAUGCAGAGUCGAACGGUAACAGGGAGAAAGCUUGCUUUCUUUGCUGACGAGUGGCGGACGGGUGAGUAAUGCUUGGGAAUCUGGCUUAUGGAGGGGGAUAACUACGGGAAACUGUAGCUAAUACCGCGUAAUAUCUUCGGAUUAAAGGGUGGGACCGUAAGGCCACCUGCCAUAAGAUGAGCCCAAGUGGGAUUAGGUAGUUGGUGGGGUAAAGGCCUACCAAGCCGACGAUCUCUAGCUGGUCUGAGAAGAUGGCCAGCCACACUGGAACUGAGACACGGUCCAGACUCCUACGGGAGGCAGCAGUGGGGAAUAUUGCACAAUGGGGGGAACCCUGAUGCAGCCAUGCCGCGUGAAUGAAGAAGGCCUUCGGGUUGUAAAGUUUUUUCGGUGAUGAGGAAGGUGUUUGUUUUAAUAGAACAAGCAAUUGACGUUAGUCACAGAAGAAGCACCGGCUAACUCCGUGCCAGCAGCCGCAGUAAUACGGAGGGUGCGAGCGUUAAUCGGAAUGACUGGGCGUAAAGGGCACGCAGGCGGUGACUUAAGUGAGAUGUGAAAGCCCCGGGCUUAACCUGGGAAUUGCAUUUCAUACUGGGUCGCUAGAGUAUUUUAGGGGGGGGUAGAAUUCCACGUGUAGCGGUGAAAUGCGUGGAGAUGUGGAGGAAUACCGAAGGCGAAGGCAGCCCCUUGGGAAUAUACUGACGCUCAUGUGCGAAAGCGUGGGGAGCAAACAGGAUUAGAUACCCUGGUAGUCCACGCUGUAAACGCUGUCGAUUUGGGGAUUGGGCUUAGAGCUUGGUGCCCGUAGCUAACGUGAUAAA